UCAUUUAAGUCAAUCGAAUGAGUUGUCCAGAGACAAAACCAUUAGUCCCGGGACAAUUGUCCAAGGACGACCACACUUAUCCAUAGACAACCCAGGUUGUCCAUGGACAGAACCAGUUGUCUGGGGACGACCUCACUUGUCCACAGACAACUGAACUGGAAGUUAUUCAUUAUUUGUUUUCGAUCUUACUCCCGAUAAAGCAGCUUCCGAAAACCAUACAAGUAUAAAUACUAUUUCUAAUUUAUCUAUUAAUUUAAAGUUUAAACGUCCAUUGGUUGAAACCGUUAAUCUUUUAUGUAUGACCGAAAAUCGAUUAAAUGUUGAGAUUGAUGCAACCCGAUCUAUUUUUCUUGAAGCAUAGAAAACCUUUUCCCUAUGACGUAGAAUGAACUUUACUAUCGAUUAAUAUAUACUGAUUAAAUGAUUCGUAAAACAGAGAAACACUGUUCAGGAUGGAUACUAUACAUCUAUAUCGUUUAGCACUUUCGGACAAAGAAAUAGCUAAUGGUUUUGGUGGUGUAUUUCCUUCGGAUAUGUUACCCGCCAAAAAAGGAAAAUAUAAAUCGUUCAUAAUUAAUACCCAGGAAUCUAAUAAGAAAGGCAUGCAUUGGUUCGCAAUCUACUUCGAUAAUGAAAAUUGUUAUUUUUUUCGACAGUUAUGGAUUUAAACCGAAGAUUCCAUCUAUAAUUAAAUUUAUUCGGCAGAACAGUAAGAGACUUUAUUAUAAUAAACACGUUUAUCAAGGACCGUG
rnacentral:lncRNA from 1 species